GUUUUGGCGAGUUUGAACGUUUUUGAGCAUGUGUAAUGGUGUGAAUGCGUUAAGCUGUUGUUUUGGUGUUCUUUUGUUGAGUUUGGCUUGUUGUUGUGAAAAGUGUUUGUUUUGGCGAGUUUGAACGUUUUUGAGCAUGUGUAAUGGCAUGAAUGCGUUAAGCUGUUGUUUUAGUGUUCUUAUGAUGAGUUUGGCUUGUUGUUAUGAACAUUGUUCGUUUUGGCCAGUUUGAAGGUUUUUGAGCAUGUGUAAUGGCAUGAAUGCGUUAAGCUGUUGUUUUAGUGUUCUUUUGAUGAGUUUGGCUUGUUGUUAUGAACAUUGUUCGUUUUGGCCAGUUUGAAGGUUUUUGAGCAUGUGUAAUGGCAUGAAUGCGUUAAGCUGUUGUUUUAGUGUUCUUGUGAUGAGUUUGGCUUGUUGUUAUGAACAUUGUUCGUUUUGGCCAGUUUGAAGGUUUUUGAGCAUGUGUAAUGGCAUGAAUGCGUUAAGCUGUUGUUUUAGUGUUCUUGUGAUGAGUUUGGCUUGUUGUUAUGAACAUUGUUCGUUUUGGCGAAUUUGAACGUUUUUGAGCAUGUGUAAUGGCAUGAAUGCGUUAAGCUGUUGUUUUAGUGUUCUUUUGAUGAGUUUGGCUUGUUGUUAUGAAAAGUGUUUGUUUUGGCGAGUUUGAACGUUUUUGAGCAUAUGUAAUGGCAUGAAUGCUUUAAGCUGUUGUUUUAGUGUUCUUUUGAUGAGUUUGGCUUGUUGUUAUGAAAAGUGUUUGUUUUGGCCAGUUUGAAGGUUU